CAAGAAAGCUCUUGCAGUUCCUUUUCCAAUGCCCCGUCUUGCCACAGUGGAAACAGGUACCGGGUCCAGAGAUUUUCUUUCCCUUCUUCUUUUUGAUGCGACUCUUAGGGUUUAGUUUUUUCUUUGAACCCCUGUUGCCCGACUUCUUCUUUGAGCUCUCACCAACAAGAAGGAUCGGACCCUUAUCUUUCUUCAUGUGAGACUCUGCUGUUUUCAGCAUAUUUAGAAGCUCAGGCAGGGAGGAAUUCAGUUUGUUCAUGUGAUAAUUCACGACAAACUGCGAGAAUG
rnacentral:lncRNA from 1 species